rnacentral:misc_RNA from 1 species
GUAGGAGCCGGCUUGCUGGCGAUGAACGAUAACGCGGUUUCAUUCAUGGACCGCGACGCAUGUAUCGCCAGCAAGCCGGCUCCGAC